rnacentral:lncRNA from 1 species
CUUGGCAGUCUCUCAGCUGCCACUGCAGGCACCACCCUGAUGCCUUUGCUCCCACCGACCCUUUCCUUGGUCACUGGUGUCAGACAAACUAGGGCCAAUUUCGUUCCAGGUGUGUGUCUCACAGCUUCUUUCCUAUUGAUAUCAGAGAGGUGAAACCUGACCAUGCCAUUAUUACCCUGGUGUUGUAAUUAGCACCGGGACUAAGUGCCCUGGGCUUUGCCGGCUGCCAUCAGCUCCUGGCUCCCGCUGCACAGCGCUAAUUGCUUUGGCCUCGGUUCCUGAAUCCCCUCUUCCCUGGGCUGGUGGGGGACAGAGCCCCACACCUGUGCACAUUCAUUCUCUUUGUGUUACCUGAUCCCGGGAACAAGAGCGAGGCUGAAGGACACAGAGGAGGAGGUGGAGUGACAAGUCCCCCUGCCAUGGGAAGGGAAAAUAGAGGCCCCAGAUCAGCUGCAAAGAAACCUGAUCCUGUGCUACUGGCCUCUGGGGAGGCUCUGCUUCCAGCCAGCUGGAAGGUGACAAGCCAGAGGCGUGUGAAUCAUGCUCUCUGGACAGCAGUGUGGCCAGGGGACAGGAGGACAAGAAGGCACGGGGAACAAUGACCACCCUGGAGGAGCUUGAAAGCACACUGGGGACAGGUGAUGUCACAGGCAGUGAAGAUGGAGAAGAAGGGACACAUUAGCCCGGUGUCAGGAAGACACCCAGCUUUCUGUCAGGUAGGUGGGGAUACUGGGGUCCCAUCCCUGGGGACAGGAACCUGUGGGGUACACAGACAGGAGAGGCUGAUCCAGGUUUCUGCUUGGUGACUUUGGGGAGGUCAGAAGACAUCAGGGUGUGCUACCCAGAACCCGUGAGUUGCAGUGCCCAGGGCUGGCAUGGCGGUCGUGGUACGGGUGGUGAC